rnacentral:tRNA from 1 species
AAGGGAGACCUAAUUCCGGUAGGAGACGAAAAAAAAGUAGUCCCUACCAAGAAUCAAUCCCAAAAGGUCGAAGCGAGGCAAGAUUGGCUUUCAAACUAGGUUCUGGGUUCAAACAAGACCUGAAUCAGGAACAAGGGCUAUUAGCUCAGGUGGUUAGAGCGCACCCCUGAUAAGGGUGAGGUCCCUGGUUCGAGUCCAGGAUGGCCCACCUGUACAGGUGGCAAAAACAAAGAAGCGAGGAAUCAGCACCUUAUCUUACUCAUAUAGUAAGAGAGAAUGCUGGCUCUGAGUAAAGAGUCCAGAGGAACCUUGAAAACUGCAUAGAGCUAGGUGAAAAAGCCAAAAAAGAAGACCGCAA